UUUGCAUCUCAGAAGGGCAGAUACACUCAUGAAUCUCAACCGACUUGCAUAGGAGUAAAAAGAUUGUUCACUGACGGAGGUAAAAUGAUUCUUAAUCUUUCUACAUUCUUCCAACCCAGUUCCAGUUCUCUCUCGCCAGUUUCCAAGAAGCAUAGCGUAGAUGGUAUGCUCACAGAACUUGCCUGCUUGCUUCUUCAUAUACCUUCCGUGCAAUGUUUGAUGGUGGUAUGAUUUUCCAAUUUCUCGUUUGCAGCAUUUUCUUUUUGGUUUUCGUCGUGUAUGCACUACAAAAGUAACACAGCGGGAGUAGGUUUAGAGGGUAAAGAAAUUUCUUCAUGUAAUGAGAAGUGAGGGUUUUUGCUUAACCACUUUUAUUUACUGGUUUUUUAGUCAAGUUUAUAGCACCGAGGAUAUAGGUGAACGGUGAAGCAAUUUGGGUAACAUGUUAUGAGAAGUAUACUAAAUGGUUUUUCCUUUUUUUUUUUGUUUUGUUAGAGAUUAAAGAUGUAAGUGUACCAAAUUGGAAGCUCAAAUAUUGAACAACAUGAUUUACUUCAUUUGUUAGUUGGUAAAGACUUCGUCUCUCCUCAAAACCCAUUGUAUUC
rnacentral:sRNA from 1 species